rnacentral:rRNA from 1 species
GAUGAACGCUGGCGGCGUGCCUAAUACAUGCAAGUCGAGCGAACAGACGAGGAGCUUGCUCCUCUGACGUUAGCGGCGGACGGGUGAGUAACACGUGGAUAACCUACCUAUAAGACUGGGAUAACUUCGGGAAACGGGAGCUAAUACCGCAUAACAUGUUGAACCGCAUGGUUCAAGAGUGAAAGACGCACUUGCUGUCACUUAUAGAUGGAUCCCCGCCGCAUUAGCUAGUGGGGAAGGUAACGGCCUACCAAGGCAACGAUGCGUAGCCGACCUGAGAGGGUGACCGGCCACACUGGAACUGAGACACGGCCCAGACUCCUACGGGAGGCAGCAGUAGGGAAUCUUCCGCAAUGGGCGAAAGCCUGACGGAGCAACGCCGCGUGAGUGAAGAAGGUCUUCGGAUCGUAAAACUCUGUUAUUAGGGAAGAACAAAUGUGUAAGUAACUGUGCACGUCUUGACGGUACCUAAUCAGAAAGCCACGGCUAACUACGUG